rnacentral:rRNA from 1 species
UACGAAGGGGCUAGCGUUGCUCGGAAUUACUGGGCGUAAAGGGAGCGUAGGCGGACAUUUAAGUCAGGGGUGAAAUCCCGGGGCUCAACCUCGGAAUUGCCUUUGAUACUGGGUGUCUUGAGUAUGAGAGAGGUGUGUGGAACUCCGAGUGUAGAGGUGAAAUUCGUAGAUAUCAGGAGGAACACCGGUGGCGAAGGCGACUUGCUGGGCAGCAACUGACGCUGAGGCGCGAAAGCGUGGGGAGCAAACAGGAUUAGAUACCCCGGUAGUCCCU